AUUGAACGCUGGCGGCAGGCCUAACACAUGCAAGUCGAGCGGCAGCGGGAAAGUAGCUUGCUACUUUUGCCGGCGAGCGGCGGACGGGUGAGUAAUGCCUGGGAAAUUGCCCAGUCGAGGGGGAUAACAGUUGGAAACGACUGCUGAUACCGCAUACGCCCUACGGGGGAAAGCAGGGGACCUUCGGGCCUUGCGCGAUUGGAUAUGCCCAGGUGGGAUUAGCUAGUUGGUGAGGUAAUGGCUCACCAAGGCGACGAUCCCUAGCUGGCCUGAGAGGAGGAUCAGCCACACUGGAACUGAGACACGGUCCAGACUCCUACGGGAGGCAGCAGUGGGGAAUAUUGCAAAAUGGGGGAAACCCUGAUGCAGCCAUGCCGCGUGUGUGAAGAAGGCCUUCGGGUUGUAAAGCACUUUCAGCGAGGAGGAAAGGUUGAUGCCUAAUACGCAUCAACUGUGACGUUACUCGCAGAAGAAGCACCGGCUAACUCCGUGCCAGCCGCCGCCGUAA
rnacentral:rRNA from 1 species